AGCACUUGAAUUUGUUUUUGUCUGUCUUUUAGACAAAGACACAAAAAAGUGCAAAAAAUAAAUUCUCUUUUGCAACCCAAAACUCAUUGUUUAGUAUGAGUUUUGAUACGUAUAAAAAAGGAAUAUU
rnacentral:snoRNA from 1 species